CAGCAGCCGCGGGAACACGAAGGGUGCAAGCGUUAAUCGGAAUUACUGGGCGUAAAGCGUGCGUAGGCGGUUUGUUAAGUCUGUUGUGAAAUCCCCGGGCUCAACCUGGGAAUGGCAAUGGAUACUGGCAAGCUAGAGUGUGUCAGAGGAUGGUGGAAUUCCCGGUGUAGCGGUGAAAUGCGUAGAGAUCGGGAGGAACAUCAGUGGCGAAGGCGGCCAUCUGGGACAACACUGACGCUGAGGCACGAAAGCGUGGGGAGCAAACAGGAUUAGAUACCCGGGUAGUCCCUGUCUCUUAUAC
rnacentral:rRNA from 1 species